rnacentral:lncRNA from 1 species
GUGAAGAUCUAAAAAAACAGAUCUGAGAUUGAUACCAGAUUACCAGAUUUGUCUGUUAGUUGGAGGUCAGUGUGAAAUUCUAUGAUCGAUUUCAUGCAAUCUUAGAAAAAAUAGAGUAUCCUACCUAUUAGAAACUCUCAAAAAUUCUAAAACUUAGAAAAAAUAGAGUAUCCUACCUAUUAGAAACUCUCAAAAAUUCUAAAAUUUAGUUUUCUGAAAUCCUCAC